CAAAAUAUAAAUGAUACUACUUGGAAAGGAUUCAUUUGUUAUUGUAUUGAAAAUCUGGUGGUUUUUGACAUCUAACAUAUGAUUCAAGUUGAUGGUGAUUAGGGGUGUGUGAUAUUUUUUUAAUCUCCCUUUGCAACGCACAUGCUCUUUUUUGUUCGGUUUUCUAUUUUUAUUUUCUAUUUUUUUCAACUUUUCAAGUUCGG
rnacentral:lncRNA from 1 species